rnacentral:lncRNA from 1 species
GGGGGGGGAUCCACAAAUGUGGGCCUUCCCCUCCUCCUCUCUGCACCGCCUCUGUCUUAACAAACAAUCAACUGGUAGCAAAAAAAUAGGCAUCCCUCCUCUUAAGAGAGGCUGAAGAUUCACAUUGUGUGUUCUCUGUGAUUAGAUGUGGAACUUUUUAGGAGUCCUGUUUAAUAGAUGUGACAGCUAAAUAAAAUAAGUGGGUAAAGUAAACAGCUUGUGUAAACAAACAGCUCUUAAAAAAUUAUGUCCUGGAAAGCAUCAAAUGCAGUAUAUUCAAAUGUAUCUGAACAUUGAAUCACACUAGAAUUAAUAAAUAGUUAAUGUGAAAAAAAAACACUGUUUACCUGCCUAUCUGAGUUGUGUGAUUGUUCGAGUAAACGCCUGUUAAAAUUAUUGGACACUUUGCACGCGCAGCACUCUGUUCUAUUCCACUUCACGUGCCCACCACUUUGUUAAUUUGCGUCUUAAUUGUCUGCGAUGCAAUUAUGGAGAUAUGGAUUGUCUGCAUGACGCCCAUUAGAGCUGCACGAGGAACGAGCAGGCCAGUGCACCCACCCUCUGACGUCACAGGACCUCGGAUUUGGGACUUCGUGGCCUCUCUUCAUUUUCACUGCGUGAAACCAGCUCUGCAGGGACACAUCCCCCACAUACCUCGCUGCUCUUGUUCAUAAAAAAUGAAGGUGUACCUGCAGUUUUUUCUACAUAUUACAAUGCAAUGGUUUUCAACAGCCCACCUGUCCCAUAUUUCAAUAUACAAAGGCGUUCAGUUUAUUUAUUGCAGUUUAAGAGAAUUUUCUGCAGCAGCUUUGGUAAAAAGUUUGCAUAGAUAACACACAAGGACAUGCAAGAGCACACACUAACACACACUCACACAGACAUGCAAACACUGGCCUGUUUGUCUUGCAAAUUUCUAAAUGAUAAAUUAGACGUAAAAUAAUAACAUAUGCACAGAGGACACUCAAGAGUCCAUGUGUACGCAAAUAAGCCACAACUGAAAACAGAACAAAAGACCUAACCAUAAAACAACACAGAAAUCUCAUAUUUCUGCAUUAAGUGACAUCAUAGAAUAAUCUCAAAUUUUUCAUUAAAGCGAGACCAACACAUACCAGAAAUUUAAUUUAACACAAGACAAAGCUGUGGGAUUUCUUUGUUUUUUAAUGAUAGAUUUCUGAGAAAUUAACGCAUUGAAAUUAACAAAAUGAUAAAAUAUCAUAUUUUAUUAUUGAAAUUGAUCAAGCAGUUGUCAUUACAUGUGUUCAUUCACGUUUUGGAAGUACCCAAUUUCUAUUAUUGAAAAAAUUAAGUCAUUUAGGUUUAUACAACAGCAGCUUUUCAUCCAGUUUUAAGGUUUUUAUUGCCUUAUUUACCUAAUAGAUGCACACUAUAAAUAUAUAAAUCACACAUUUUGUCCAUUUCAAUUGAAUUUUGGCCGAUUUAACACUUGAAAAUAAUACAUUGCUUUAAUCCUAUUUAUUGAAAUAUCUUUAUUUAUUCUACAUAAAACUGUAAAUUACCGAAAUAAUUUACGGUAAUACAAUAUGCUACGUAAAAAAACAAUCGGUUUCAUUUUUUCUAACGCAGAAGUUUUUAUGUGUCACGUGGUCUCUUAAACUGAUCAAGCUUUUGAGAAAUACAAAAAGUGUACAUACAUAUAAAAAAAUGUUGAUUGUUUAAGCCUGCGCUCUUCUCCAUCUAUUACGGUAAAAUUCAGAGUUUGUGUUUUCUUGUUGUUAUUGUUGUUAUUAUCGCCUCAUCGUCCUGCCACAGACGAGUCCUCUAUCCUGCUGCAGUCACUCUGAAUUAGCCUCACACACACACACACACACACACACACACACACACACACACACACACACACACACACACACACACACUCCUCAUUACUCCAACAGCAUAAAUACACACACAUACACACAGCUACACACCCAUACACGUUAAAUCGUGAUUUUCCAAGUAUAGACCCUGUGUUUCGGCUUAAACAUCCAAAAGCAUUGGUCGCUCUUCAUUAUGAGUAGCUAAGUAAUGCGUUCACGCUGGAACAGACACACGGACAGUGGAUAAAGGUGAAAGCUGCUUUUUGUAAAAAACGUUUAAACGCAAAGAUAAAAAGUACGAAUAAGAUAAUAAUGAUAAUAUGCUGGUGUUUUAAUGGGAUGCUGAUGUUCGAGCUGAGAUCAUCAGGAGGACUAAAAGCGUGUUCUUUAAAGUGAGCAGAACAGUCACCGUGAGAAAUUAUAGAAAGCAAAGCAUGUCUCCAUAAUCAGACAGUAAAAUGUUCACUUUUCUGAGCCUAAGCUUAAACAUAUAUUGAAUAUAAAUAAAAUAUAAUGAAUAAAAGAGUAACAGAGCAGUGGAGGAUUACAAAUGUUAUUUUACAGCUUGUAUUAGUACGAUUCAAUCACGUUUUAACUCUUUAUAUUCUCUUAUUAGAGUAAUAUUUAAAUUUAUGUUAUAAUGUCAGACAAAUAUGAAUUAAUUUAUUGGUUAUAUAAUUUGAAUUUAGAACUAUUAAUAUUAUACAACACACACACACACAUACGCACACACACACAAAGGCUCGCAACAUGGCGUUUGUGGCUCGCCCACCCCACGAUUGAUCGAUUUUUAGGUUUGAGUGUGUGGAUUUUUACACCUUGAACGCACCACAGCAUCUCCAAUGACCACUUAAAAACCGACAAAAAUAUUGGCAAAUUGCAUUAAAGUAUUAUCAAAAUUAAUGCAUUUGAUUUACAAUAUAAUUUCUGUUUUUUUUUUAAAUAUAUAUAUAAAUUAAAGUAGCCAUCUAAGCCACUUAAGUGUGUAAAAGUCUCACGGAAAGAAGGUAAAAAAAUUUUCUACUUUUAUCAGAAUUUUUCAGUUAAGUUUAUAUAAAAGCUUUUUUUUUUUCUCAUUUAUUAUAUCUAAUUUUCAUUCAUUUAAUUUAUAAAUUUUACUUUUUUGCGUUUGCAGAAUUUAUCUAAACUAUAUCCAUAACUAACUUAAUAUCGAAAAUUAAUUUUGUAUAUAGUUUGCAGAUUAUUUUAAUUGUUUCUACUCGUAUAACACAAUUUUUGUAAAAAUGAUCAAUGGACAAACAACAUAUCCAUACUCACAAAGCCUACAGUUGUAUGAGCUUAUACUGUAAAUAAUUAUACCCCAAAAUUAUAAAAUGUCUCACCUUUACAACAACCAAAAGUCUUUUAAAAAGUUUAAAGUCCAGUUUUGUUCUCCUCUUCUUCAGUUCUUCCACUUCUUCUUGGUCGAAACGGAGUGAAACAUGAGACGGCAGCGCGGCUGCAUCCCUCCUGCAGCAAAAUAAAUCUCCUAUGCAAAGAAGGCUUUUGAAAAUGGCGCCCUGCAGCAAACGCCUCCCUGUCAGCGAGCAGGAGAAGGGGGGAGGAGGAGGCGAAGGAGGGAGCGAGGGGCAGAAGGGGGCGUGCCAUGUGCGUCGUCUUACGCGCAAUGGGGCUGUAGCCUUUGCUCCCGUGUCGGUUGUAGUAUCUGAAUUUAAAACCGUGCUCGGUUCUCGCCGGUAUAUCCUCAAACAUAGUCCCCCUCCCCUCCCCUCUCUUUAUUGUCAACUACACGUCGGUACAACCAUCGUAGAGACGCGCCGUGUCAUUACGCACCGAAUAAAAAGCGCACUUCUUGGAGGUCCGUGCCUUUUCGAGCUCACCCAUCCCCCAUACGCGCUAGGUCUCUCCCUGCGAAAACACGGACCUGUUUUCCGCUGAUUCCGCGACGUUUUGCGUUUACGGGAUCUGCAAACACGCUCUCUCUGUCUCCCAGGUUGAUGUCUCCUUCCAGUCCGUCGCUCCGUGGACGAUUUGGCGCAAAUCGGAACACCUCCACAUCCUAACCGCGCCAUUCCGCUCCGUGUAACCGCGCAGUCUAGCCAGCAGCUGGGGCUUCCAGGGGAGAGCUGUGGAAAGGGGAUCUCUUUCUCUCUCCCUCUGUUGCUCUCUCUUCUUUCUCUCCCUCCUUCCCUUCACGGCGGAGCAGCAGCGAGGGAGAAGAAGAGGAGGAGGGGGAGAAGGAGGGGGAAGCCCACGCUGAUAGCUGGAGGGAGCCCCAGCGCGUUGAGCCUGUGUGAGUGUGUCUGCGUGUGUGU